rnacentral:rRNA from 1 species
CCUGGCUCAGGACUAACGCUGGCGGCGCGCCUAACACAUGCAAGUCGAACGAGCGAGAGAGAGCUUGCUUUCUCGAGCGAGUGGCGAACGGGUGAGUAACGCGUGAGGAACCUGCCUCAAAGAGGGGGACAACAGUUGGAAACGACUGCUAAUACCGCAUAAGCCCACGGGUCGGCAUCGACCAGAGGGAAAAGGAGCAAUCCGCUUUGAGAUGGCCUCGCGUCCGAUUAGCUAGUUGGUGAGGUAACGGCCCACCAAGGCAACGAUCGGUAGCCGGACUGAGAGGUUGAACGGCCACAUUGGGACUGAGACACGGCCCAGACUCCUACGGGAGGCAGCAGUGGGGAAUAUUGCACAAUGGGGGAAACCCUGAUGCAGCGACGCCGCGUGGAGGAAGAAGGUCUUCGGAUUGUAAACUCCUGUUGUUGGGGAAGAUAAUGACGGUACCCAACAAGGAAGUGACGGCUAACUACGUGCCAGCAGCCGCGGUAAAACGUAGGUCACAAGCGUUGUCCGGAAUUACUGGGUGUAAAGGGAGCGCAGGCGGGAAGACAAGUUGGAAGUGAAAUCUAUGGGCUCAACCCAUAAACUGCUUUCAAAACUGUUUUUCUUGAGUAGUGCAGAGGUAGGCGGAAUUCCCGGUGUAGCGGAGGAAUGCGUAGAUAUCGGGAGGAACACCAGUGGCGAAGGCGGCCUACUGGGCACCAACUGACGCUGAGGCUCGAAAGUGUGGGUAGCAAACAGGAUUAGAUACCCUGGUAGUCCACACCGUAAACGAUGAUUACUAGGUGUUGGAGGAUUGACCCCUUCAGUGCCGCAGUUAACACAAUAAGUAAUCCACCUGGGGAGUACGACCGCAAGGUUGAAACUCAAAGGAAUUGACGGGGGCCCGCACAAGCAGUGGAGUAUGUGGUUUAAUUCGACGCAACGCGAAGAACCUUACCAAGUCUUGACAUCCCUUGACAGGCAUAGAAAUAUGUAAUCUCUUCGGAGCAAGGAGACAGGUGGUGCAUGGUUGUCGUCAGCUCGUGUCGUGAGAUGUUGGGUUAAGUCCCGCAACGAGCGCAACCCUUAUGGUCAGUUACUACGCAAGAGGACUCUGGCCAGACUGCCGUUGACAAAACGGAGGAAGGUGGGGAUGACGUCAAAUCAUCAUGCCCUUUAUGACUUGGGCUACACACGUACUACAAUGGCGUUAAACAAAGAGAAGCAAGACCGCGAGGUGGAGCAAAACUCAGAAACAACGUCCCAGUUCGGACUGCAGGCUGCAACUCGCCUGCACGAAGUCGGAAUUGCUAGUAAUCGUGGAUCAGCAUGCCACGGUGAAUACGUUCCCGGGCCUUGUACACACCGCC